CAAUUAUUAUACAAGACAAACAGGGGCUUGGUACAAACUGUAGUACAGUCGAUGUUACACUUAAUACAUCACCUAGCCAGCUUGGAUCCUUGAAGACCAAACUAGGCCAAGCAGAAAACAACCUUAUAGUAUAACAUCCGUAUCACACAAGAACCACCAACACAGAAAAAAUCUAAGGCUUUUCACCAGAUGCAGAGGUGAGGCGUCU
rnacentral:misc_RNA from 1 species